CGUAGUCCCUCAUAUCCACUCCCUUCCAACUAUCACGAUUGAAGCAACAUGUUUUUGUUACCAAUUUGCAUUACCUUUGGCCUCGCUGGUAUUGUGUUUUCUUACAACGUAUCUCAAAUAUUCAACGACACAGCGAUAGUCUACGUCAAGCUCAAAAACUACGAACAACAUUUGCCACCAGAUUGCCAGUCAGUGCAAGUCACCCAGAAAGACGGAGCUUCUUGGCAUGUGCGUUUCCGUAAAUUCAGAUUUCCCGUAAACGACACGAAGGACAGAAGGAUAUUCUGCUACGACACAACCGCCUCCAUAUCUGAUAAUGAAGCGGGGAACACAAGCAUUUUCACCUACAA
rnacentral:lncRNA from 1 species